UACGUAGGGUGCAAGCGUUGUCCGGAAUUAUUGGGCGUAAAGAGCUCGUGGGCGGUCUGUCGCGUCUGCUGUGAAAACUCGGGGCUUAACCCCGGGCCUGCAGUGGGUACGGGCAGACUAGAGUGCGGUAGGGGAGACUGGAAUUCCUGGUGUAGCGGUGAAAUGCGCAGAUAUCAGGAGGAACACCGGUGGCGAAGGCGGGUCUCUGGGACGGUACUGACGCUGAGACGCGAAAGCGUGGGGAGCGAACAGG
rnacentral:rRNA from 1 species